rnacentral:rRNA from 1 species
AAGCGAAAUAGUGAUAUAGAGCAAAACCCUAAAAAACGGUACUCAGUUCGGAUUGAAGGCUGAAAUUCGCCUUCAUGAAGCUGGAAUUGCUAGUAAUGGCAGGUCAGCAUACUGCCGUGAAUACGUUCCCGGGCCUUGUACACACCGCCCGUCACACCAUGAGAGUUGGGAAUACCCGAAGCCUGUGAGCUAACUUUUAGAGGCAGCAGUCGAAGGUAGAAUCAAUGAUUGGGGUGAAGUCGUAACAAGGUAAC